UGAUAGUUAGAUGGUUUCUUCCGAUCAUCUUAGUUUCUUAAUUGUUUCUAUUUUCAUGUUUUAUCAAGUAAUUUACAAAAGAUAACACUGGUCUCUUUCCUAAUUGGCACAAGUUUAUUUGGAUGGGCAACCAAGCAAAUUAUAAAUGUUAUUCAGGUCUAUACAGAGUACAUGAUUUAUUUAUGCCUGCAUAUUUUAGAUGAUGAGAGGCUCUAUAUAUUUAGUUUUUUAUUAUCACCAUCCUAUAAUGGGAAGAAAAAGAAAAUCUGAACACCAAGAAAACAGGGUAGUGCUAAAUUGUUCAUAUAUUUUAAUAUUGAAUAUGUUCUUUGGUGUAGGGUCUAAUAUGACAUUGUGUGACACGCUUGAGUUGCAAUGAGACUUUGCUAUUUAUAUGAUUGAAUAGUAUAAUUAUGAAGUGGAUGAAGAAUUGUCAUUUUUUCUGUGAUUAUUAUAUGGGGUGUUUCAAUUUUUUGAAUGAACUAAAAAAGAUGCAGGCACAUCUUAUCAUUGUUUUGUUGUUUGUUUUAUACUUCAUACUAUAUAUUAUGCACACAUAAAAGAACGGAUAGUACGAGAUGUAGAGUUUUGUCUUGGAUUCAAAGAAGAAGGCAUUUUAAGAAGACACCAUGUUUAUGUAGGAUUAGUGAAAGAUUUAGUGAAAAUAGAUAAUUUGUUAGCUUUUACAUCACCAACUUUCAGGUAUUUAUAAAAAUG
rnacentral:lncRNA from 1 species